GGAUGUGAGGGCGAUCUGGCUGCGACAUCUGUCACCCCAUUGAUCGCCAGGGUUGAUUCGGCUGAUCUGGCUGGCUAGGCGGGUGUCCCCUUCCUCCCUCACCGCUCCAUGUGCGUCCCUCCCGAAGCUGCGCGCUCGGUCGAAGAGGACGACCAUCCCCGCUAGAGGAGGACCGGUCUUCGGUCAAGGGUAUACAAGUAGCUGCGCUCCCCUGCUAGAACCUCCAAACAAGCUCUCAAGGUCCUUAAUGAGGGGGAAACUAGAGCCUCCUGU
ensembl:misc_RNA 7SK 7SK RNA